ensembl:lncRNA
UAUCUUUCUGCAAACCUUAUUUAUUAUCUCACUUUUACCCUCUCUUUUAGAAAUGAAGAAACUGAAGUAGCUUGUUCACAGUGAGGAUUCUAACUCAGGCUGCCUGGCUCUAAGCCUACACUCUGGAUUGUUAGUGGACAGAAGUCACGUGAUGGUCAAGGUAUGUGUGGCCUUUUCUGUGAGUGUCCUUCACUGACCUCAUGGUCCAAGUCUUUAAUCCGACUGAACUCAUCUGUGUGUCACUGACAACCAGGCCUGUAACAUCCCACCAGGAGCCACCAGAAGCUGGCAGAGAUUCUCAUCUUUUGGGUUGCUAUUGGAAAGUGAGAAAAAGUAGCAGAUGGAGAAGAAAAACAAACUGACUGACCUGAAAAUGGAUGAAAC